rnacentral:rRNA from 1 species
UUACGGGAGGCAGCAGUUGGGAAUCUUGGACAAUGGGGGAAACCCUGAUCCAGCCAUGCCGCGUGAGUGAUGAAGGCCUUCGGGUUGUAAAACUCUUUCGCGCACGACGAUAAUGACGGUAGUGCGAGAAGAAGCUCCGGCUAACUUCGUGCCAGCAGCCGCGGUAAUACGAAGGGGGCUAGCGUUGUUCGGAAUUACUGGGCGUAAAGCGCGCGCAGGCGGUCUUCCAAGUCAGUGGUGAAAGCCCGGAGCUCAACUCCGGAACUGCCAUUGAAACUGUGAGACUUGAGUAUGAGAGAGGUGAGUGGAAUUCCCAGUGUAGAGGUGAAAUUCGUAGAUAUUGGGAAGAACACCGGUGGCGAAGGCGGCUCACUGGCUCAUUACUGACGCUCAGGCGCGACAGCGUGGGGAUCAAACAGGAUUAGAUACCCGGGUAGUCCC